UACAGAGGUCCCAAGCGUUGUUCGGAUUCAUUGGGCGUAAAGGGUGCGUAGGCGGCGCGGUAAGUCGGGUGUGAAAUCUCGGAGCUUAACUCCGAAACUGCAUUCGAUACUGCCGUGCUUGAGGACUGGAGAGGAGACUGGAAUUUACGGUGUAGCGGUGAAAUGCGUAGAUAUCGUAAGGAAGACCAGUGGCGAAGGCGGGUCUCUGGACAGCUCCUGACGCUGAGGCACGAAGGCCAGGGGAGCAAACGGG
rnacentral:rRNA from 1 species